rnacentral:rRNA from 1 species
CAGUAGCCGCGGUAAUACAGAGGGUGCGAGCGUUAAUCGGAUUUACUGGGCGUAAAGCGUGCGUAGGCGGCUUCUUAAGUCGGAUGUGAAAUCCCUGAGCUUAACUUAGGAAUUGCAUUCGAUACUGGGAAGCUAGAGUAUGGGAGAGGAUGGUAGAAUUCCAGGUGUAGCGGUGAAAUGCUUAGAGAUCUGGAGGAAUACCGAUGGCGAAGGCAGCCAUCUGGCCUAAUACUGACGCUGAGGUACGAAAGCAUGGGGAGCAAACAGGAUUAGAUACCCGUGUAGUCCCUGUCUCUUAUAC